AUUGCUCAGAAACCCAGUAAUCAAAUAUUUGAUUAUUUUUGUGUAGGACAAGUAGUCUCUUAUUAGGAUUAUGCACUUCUAUGAAGGUGCAGAUUUAAUCUAUUUUAUGAUGAAAGAUUAAACCCACAAAUCCCAUUUAAUAAUGGAUUUCUGGCAAUAAGUAGCUAUGUCAUUUUAUGGCUAAUAUCCAACAUGAGAGUUAAUAGUAAGGACACACUUGAACCUGUUCCACAGUGAACUUGAAUAUUGCCUGUAAGGCAGGAAUCAAACACUGUGGGGAACAUGGCUAAACAUUCUUGGAAUGGAUAAGUUGUUUUGCAGUGAUUUUUCUAAUUAUUGGUUAAUUUAUCUGCUUAGUUUCAGAGUAGAUUUCUUCAGACUAAAAUGUCCAUGUAAAGCAUUUAUUGGAAAUUCCUGAUGGUCAGUUCUGGUUCUUUUAUGUUACAAUAUUUCUUUGUUACAAAUAAUAUGUGCACUUGGUUUGAAAUGGCAUUUCUGCAGUACAUUUGUUUGCUGCUAUGAAACUUCACAUUAGUAUAGCUUUUGAGUUACACAGUUUAUUUGUAUUUUUGGGAUCUGGAAAUCUUGUGGGGAGUUUUUUUUUUAGUUGUGCUGGUUGGUUUGAUUGUGUCUUCUGUGGAUUCUGUCCCCCUGAGUGUGCUGACACAGUUUUAGUAGUUUAGCCAUUGGAUAUUACAAAUAGAGCAGAAGGUGAAGCACUGAGGUGCUCUGUAAACUCUGAGUGACAUGUUGGAAAUCAACGUGGUUGAAUAAAAACCUGUUAACCAACUUGUGAAAGCAUGAGUCAGAUGGGACUUGGAGGAGGAUUUGCUGCACUGGGACUAUUCUCCAGUGGUGUUGUGCAUAUUGUCCAGUUUGCAUAGUUCAGGAGGCAGCAGUGGUAGAACCCAGAGGUUCUGUCAGAUAUCUGGGGAUCUGAGGUGUUAACAGUUGAGUGGUAAAUUUAUGUAUAUGUUCUGCUUCCAAGAGUGGCAGUGAUUUGAAGCCAUAUUUGGUGGUUUAACUAAUACUCAGAGGUAGAAACACAAUAAAAGUUUUAGAGAUUAAUUCAACAUGCCCAAACUCCCAAAACCUUCUGUACAAAACCUGACAAACCAAGCACUUUAGUAUAAAAUAUUAAUGCUGUGACCUUAGUAUGAAAAUACAGAAAAAUUAGCAGUUACCACAUUUGCUGAUAUAUUAGAAACAUAACAGUAGCAAUAGAUGAAUAACUUGUUAUGAGCAGUUAAUUUUAAUCAGUUUAUUGGUAUGUUAGCCUCUGGGUUUUGGAGAGUGAAGGGUUUCCUCUUGGAGGAGGGAGGGCACAGGGCUGUCUAUGUCUUAUAAACAUGUUCCUUUUAUUCUUCAGGCAAAUGCAGUAAUACAAACUCCGCUGAAUAGUUUUAAAUUGACAUAGGGUUUCCAGAGCAAGACAAAAAUGUAUGUGUUGUCUGGAUUCCGUCCAAAGCAUCUUUAGUUCUGAACUGGCUUAGGCCAGAGAGACAGGAUGUUCCACAGAGCAAAAACCAUGUGAUUAAAGAACACGAACAAACACAGAGUAUAUUAUUAACAAAACACCAGACUGCAUUUCAUGUUGGGUUUUCUGGCUGGUGACCCAUGGAGUUGACUCAAAAAGUUAACAGAGACAAAGGUCCAGUCUGUUCUAACAUAACUAAUAAUCACAAAAGAUUCUCUGAAGCCUUCUCUCCUGUCUUAAAGAGCUGUUCACACAGGUCCUGACAGGGGUAUAAAUACAUCCCAGUGAGAUUCCGUGCUCAGGAACAUGUCCUGAGAGGGUGUUGCAGCAUCUGCUACAGAGGGGUUUUAUCUUGAUUCACCAUUCUUUAUGUGUCUAGAAAUUAGGCUUCCUGUUGCCUCCAGGCUCAUCAUGCUGUCAACAGUAUCUUCAUUUCUCCCUUGUGUUCUGACUCACAUGCCUGUCAGUGCCAUCCUGUCUGUCCUACUUUGUGGUCUCUUCCAUGUUCAGGAUGUGGCUGAAUCCUCCACAUCCUGAUCAGCAGCUGUCUAGGCCACGAUCUGUGUGGGCAGACUUUGAGUCACUCUGUUUUGUGGUGAGGAUGCAUGUAAUUGAGGCACGAGGUGAAGGGUGUAUGGUGUUUGAAGGCUUGUGGAGCACUUGAAAAAAAAAUUUUGAUCAUAAGCAGGUAGAUAAGAUGGAGUAGUCUUGGCUGGUCAUGUCUGCCCUUACAGAAGAUAAUUGUAACAAAAUUAACAUUUUUUGCAAUUGUUGAUAGUGUUGGGAAGUUCUGCUCCUUAGCAUUGCAAGCCUUUGACCCCAGAACCCGGAGAGAUCCGUGAAUCUUCACAGUGUAAGUAUUUUACUUGCUGUAUUUUCCUGAAGAAUAAAAGAAACCUCUUUAUAAGAAAUAGAAACAGAUAGCCCUGCGCCCUCUCUCCCUAAGAGGAAACACUUCACUCUCCAAAAGUUUCUUCAGGAAAUUCAAUCAGUGUUGCAGUGUCUGUUUCCCAUCCUGUCCACAUUUAUGCCUUUUCCUGGGAGGCUGCACUUCUACUCUGCUCUGCUGGCCAAGGGCUGACAUGCCAGUGAGCCUGGGAGCGUGUGUGAAUCCUGGGGGUCUUCUACAAAAACUGCAUUGUGCUCUCUGCACAGCGUGUGGGUCUCGGGAAAGGGAACAUCAGACCCAUUUUCGUUCACUUUUCACAGAAGGUUACUUUGUUACAAACGGACUUAUGUAUUUGGGGUCGUCCUUCCCAAGGUCACACAAAUAUUAUCAUUUUUUCCAUUGGUAUUUAACGCUUUUAGCCAAAUGGAGAGCUGUAGCUGCAGUUUAAUUCCUCUUUAGUGUUCCAGGCUCAUUAUUUUAAACAUGCAUUUUAGCCAGGGGGGAAAGGAGCUGUGGAAGCAGUGGGUGUUAGAUCCCUGACAGCGAGGGAAGAUGUUGAAGAUGACAGCUUUUCCUGUAGUGCCCAGAGCAUCAGCGAGGAGCUGUCUCCUCCCUCGCAGAGCAGCCAGCGGCCUCCCCACCCCAGCCCCGCUGUUAGUCAGCAGAUGCACUCCGCUCUUCCGCAUCCAGAGCAGGAGAUAUUGUUAAAGCGCUUCCUCGCUCUGCUUUGUUAAGUAAUUCUUCGUUGUUAAUGCUGAAAGGGAGAUUUUCCCGAGGCGCUCCGGGCAGGAGAUUGAUUUGAAAGCAAGGAGAGGUCAAAGUAACAUCCAGUCAGGCUUUGCAUGGCAUGAGGCAGAAACAGGAUUUUCUAGCAUGUUGGGUGUGUUGCACCUGCAAGUAUCCAUGAAGGGAUGAGAAAAGUCAGGCGUGU